rnacentral:tRNA from 1 species
AUCAGUGUGGUGAAAUGGCUAUCACAGCGGUCUCCAAAACCGUUAUUCAGGGUUCGAAUCCUUGCACUGGUGCCA